ACUAGGCAUGGUGGUGCAUGCCUGUAAUCCCAGGGGCUUGGGAGGCUUUGAGGCAGGAGGAUUGCCAGUUCAAAGCUAGCCUCAGCAUAAAGUGAGUCCCUAAGCAACUCAGUGAGACCCUGUCUCUA
rnacentral:sRNA from 1 species